GAAAUGCGAUACGUAAUGCGAAUUGCAGAAUUCAGUGAAUCAUCAAAUUUUUGAACGCAACUUGCGCUGUUGGGUAGGCCCGGCAGCAUGCCUCUCUGAGUAUCGAUUCUAACCAAACUCGCCUGCGUGCUGACUUAAAAUGUUGGUACGUUUCGGUGGAUAAUGAGCGUCUCGUUUCGAAAGCGACGAGUCGUUUUAAGUGCAGCGUGCUCUCGAUCGUCAACUAGUUAAUGGUUUCCAUUCAUCUAGCUGAUGUUGAUAAUUCAGCCUUUUUUGUGCUGUCUUUGACAUCGGGUCUAGGAGUGGAGAUUUAGUUGGUGUCGAAAGCCGACAAAGGAAACCUCUUUUUGAAUUUGAUCUCAGAUGAAGCAAGAUUACCCGCCGAAUUUAA
rnacentral:misc_RNA from 1 species